UCGGGUAUGGUGUAACGGCUAACAUUGCCGCCUCUCAUCGCUGUGGGGACUGGUAGUGCGCGGCAGCUCGGGGUUCGAUUCCCCGUACCCGAA